GUCCUUUUGUUUAUUUUAUUUAAGGUCUGACCUGCCCAAUGAGGAAUUGAAUGGCCGCAGUAUUUUAACUGUGCUAAGGUAGCAUAAUCAUUUGUCUUUUAAUUGAGGGCUGGAAUGAAGGGUUGGACGAGGUAUUAACUUUCUUUGAUUUAAUGAGGAGAAUUUAAUUUUUGAGUUAAAAAGCUUAAAUUUAUUUGUGGGACGAGAAGACCCUAUAGAUCUUUAUAGUUUUAUAUUUUAAUAAUUUGGUGAUUUAUUUGUUUUAAGUAGAUGAACUAUUUUGUUGGGGUGACUGUAGAAUUUAAAUAACUUCUAUUAUUUUAUUUCAUUAAUUAAUGUUUUUGUGAUCCAUAUUUUAUGAUUAUAAGAUUAAGUUACCUUAGGGAUAACAGCGUAAUUUCCUYGGAGAGUUCAUAUUGAUGGGGGAGUUUGCGACCUCGAUGUUGGAUUAAAAUAAGUUAUGGAUGCAGGAGUCUAUUUACUAGGUCUGUUCGACCUUUAAAUUUUU
rnacentral:rRNA from 1 species